rnacentral:rRNA from 1 species
UACGUAGGAUGCAAGCGUUGUCCGGAAUUAUUGGGCGUAAAGAGCGAGCAGGCGGUUUGGAAAGUUGGACGUGAAAUUUUAGGGCUUAACCCUAAAGGGUCGUCCAAAACUCCCAGACUAGAGUGCAGGAGAGGAAAGCGGAAUUCCCGGUGUAGCAGUGAAAUGCGUAGAGAUCGGGAGGAACACCAGUGGCGAAGGCGGCCUUCUGGACCAGUACUGACGCUCAUGCACGAAAGCGUGGGGAGCAAACAGG